rnacentral:rRNA from 1 species
AUUGAACGCUGGCGGCAGGCUUAACACAUGCAAGUCGAGCGGAGUGAUGGUGCUUGCACUAUCACUUAGCGGCGGACGGGUGAGUAAUGCUUAGGAAUCUGCCCAUUAGUGGGGGACAACAUCUCGAAAGGGAUGCUAAUACCGCAUACGUCCUACGGGAGAAAGCAGGGGAUCACUUGUGACCUUGUGCUAAUAGAUGAGCCUAAGUCGGAUUAGCUAGUUGGUGGGGUAAGGCCUACCAAGGCGACGAUCUGUAGCGGGUCUGAGAGGAUGAUCCGCCACACUGGGACUGGGACACGGCCCAGACUACUACGGGAGGCAGCAGUGGGGAAUAUUGACAAUGGGGGGAACCCUGAUCCAGCCAUGCCGCGUGUGUGAAGAAGGCCUUAUGGUUGUAAAGCACUUUAAGCGAGGAGGAGGCUCUUUUGGUUAAUACCCAAGAUGAGUGGACGUUACUCGCAGAAUAAGCACCGGCUAACUCUGUGCCAGCCGCCGCAGUAA